CGGGUUCAGAUCCCUGGUGCAAUGCUGUCCGUUGAGGAGCUGAUGUUGCGAGGUUGCCGUCUGCGGGGUUCCGGUUGAACGCCUGCAUGUCGGAAUCCGCGC
rnacentral:rRNA from 14 species